rnacentral:lncRNA from 1 species
CUUUAUAUCUCUUUGGAACUUGGUAGUUGGGUGUGCCAUCAGUGUUCUUUAUUAACUUCCCAGCAUCGGUUAUGUAUUGUCUGAGAGCUUGACCGCAUCUUCCCAUACAAUAAGCUUUGCGUUCUUCAGUAAGAUCAAAACUAGUCUGCAUGCAAAAACAACGUAACAAAAUUAUUCAUAUAAAUACUCCCAUGCAGAAUCAUGCAAAAAUAGAAAAUAGAAAAUAGAUAAAAGAAACUUACGUUUAAAUCCUCCCAUAACAUUUGCUUCUUGUUUUCCAAACUCUUGUCAGCCCAGUGAGAGUCAAUUAUUUGGAAAUAAUUUCUAGUUGCCACUCCAAAGUAGCUUGUCAACGCAGUGCCACCACUUGAGUUUAUUGGUUGGCCUUUUUCGUUCCAUUCCACCGUUGUCUUGCCUUGUUUGGUUCUUGAGUUGAUCACCUUCUUCAAAUUUGUACAACCACGUGCGGAACGUUGUUGAUCAGUUUGAGUUGCUGUAAUUUCUUGGUCAGAUGAGGAAGCCAUUGAGAUAUGAGAGAAAUGAGAGAAAUGAGAGAUAUGAGACAAAUGAGAGAUAUGAGACAAUGCAAAUAAUCUUUUGUGCAGUUCUGAUCUGACUUCUAAGUUUGAGUUCUUUAGUUGAGUUCUGACUCCUAGCGAUAUGGCUUAUAUUUGUAAAAUGUUAUACAACAAUAUUUGACCGCGCACAUUAAUAAAUUGCGCUGUUGUACGUUACGUUUGUACAUCAAUAUAUAUAUGCAUAGCUUCUGAAAACGGAAAUGAUGAAAUAUUAUUCCACAGCGUUGAAGUACAUAUGCGCUGUUAAAUCUACGUGGGUCAGCAGCCAAUGCAUUAAAUGUUGAUGCUUGGGUCAGAACUCGGAAGAAACAAUGUAUGAUGUGAUACUAAUAAAAUGAGUGGAGUCGGAAAUGCAUUAUCCUCCUACUGUACGUCUAUUUUGCUUUCUUCGUGCAAUAAAGAACCAAAAUACGCUGUGGAUGUUUACGUUAUUCCACCGCGGUGUGCUAUUACGUAUGCGCUGUUAAAUGUCAGCUGUCAGCAGCCAAGCAUUAAUUGUUGAUGGCUUGAUGCCAUUGACAAGAAACGUCAUGAAUUUGUG